UACGGGGGGGGCAAGCGUUGUUCGGAAUUACUGGGCGUAAAGGGCUCGUAGGCGGCCAACUAAGUCAGACGUGAAAUCCCUCGGCUUAACCGGGGAACUGCGUCUGAUACUGGAUGGCUUGAGUUCGGGAGAGGGAUGCGGAAUUCCAGGUGUAGCGGUGAAAUGCGUAGAUAUCUGGAGGAACACCGGUGGCGAAGGCGGCCUGCUGGGAUCUUGCUGACGCUGAGGCGCGACAGCGUGGGGAGCAAACAGG
rnacentral:rRNA from 1 species